GGGAGAAGGAACUCCAUCCAGUCCUAGGAAACAAGAUGUGCAAAGAUCAUAUGUAAGUAGAUCAUGUUAGCUGGCAGAAACUUAAAGCCAGUAUGUGUAAAGUGGGGAGACUGAGGGAUGUAGGAAAUAAUUUUGGACACAUAAGUGGGGUUGCUGAAGCAUGAAAUGAAAUAACCCAUAUAACAGGUUUAGUAGAGAACUUUCCUAAUGGCAAAAUCUAACAAGUAUUGUUUCUACCAUUGACUGAAAAGUAUAAUGUCUGCUCACAAAAGUCUGGUAAAUAACAAAUCAUUUUCCUUUUAUAGAAGCGUGUUAAAGAAGGAGAAAUCAAGUAAUUUUCAAUCUAAAUUGGAGGAGCCAAGGAUUCUUCUCAGUGAGCUUUUCUGUGGUUCUGGACAAUUCUUACCCAACAUUUUAUUAAUUAUUGAAGACAUCAGAUUCCAGAAUAAGGAUGAUCACAGAACCUAAAUGUUAUCACAUCUCUGAAAAGCAUCGGCAUCGGCACUGGACCAGAAUCGCUGAAGUCAAUUUGCAGUCAGAAGGACUGAGUAGAAAGCCAGCUCUUCUGCUUAGUCAUGUGACCCUGGACAGCAUCUCACAGGAGGUACCGUUUUCUUAUCUGAAAGUUGGAAAAAAUAAAAUACCUGUGAGAACUACAUAAGCUAAUAUGUGAGAGGGUGUUUAGCACAUAGCAACAUACAGGUAAAUUCCCCUUGGUUCUAAACAGUAGAGCUAUAUCAGAGGUUAUAAAUCAGGUAUGCGUGUACCCUACAUGGGGCUGUGUUGCAGCAGCAGAGCAUAUCUGUUUAUGCAUAUCAUGCAAGUAAGUAAUCUUGUUUGCAACAUUAUUAAAAGUGUUUAUUUCUAGCGCAUUACACAGGUGUCCAGCCUUAUACAUCUAUAAGAAUCACAUGAUCCUGCAGAAAUAUAUUCAAAGGCAGCCUCACUUGCUAUUGAUCACACUCAGCUGAGAGGCAAGCAUAUAAUGGUCAUCAUAUACUUUUGUGUGUCUGAAAAAAAGUGUAUACUAAAUUUAAACAUUAAAAUAUUUUUAGGCUGAGUAUCAUUACAUUUCACAUUUCUUUGGAUUUUCCUCUUCUAGAGAUUCCUCCUAGAGGUUUUCUCCUACAUUCUAAUUUUCUCUGAAUGUUGUGUUUAAAGUCAAUGGCUUAGCACCAGGCCCUCUCUGUUUCAUGUGUGAUUAUUUUGUCUUCUGAAACCUAAGCCCCAGAAAUAGGUCUUGUGUCUCACAUUCUUUCAAUUCCC
rnacentral:lncRNA from 1 species